GCGGACGUGCCGGAGUGGCCAAACGGGCUGGCUUCAGGUGCCAGUGGCUUAGUGCCUACGCAGGUUCGAAUCCUGCCGUCCGCA
rnacentral:tRNA from 1 species